CAGCCGCCGCGGUAAUACCGGCGGCCCGAGUGGCGGCCACUCUUAUUGGGCCUAAAGCGUCCGUAGCCGGGCUGGUAAGUCCUCCGGGAAAUCUGGUCGCUUAACGAUCAGACUUCCGGAGGAUACUGCUGGCCUAGGGACCGGGAGAGGCCGAGGGUAUUCCCGGGGUAGGGGUGAAAUCCUGUAAUCCCGGGAGGACCACCUGUGGCGAAGGCGCUCGGCUGGAACGGGUCCGACGGUGAGGGACGAAGGCCAGGGGAGCAAACCGGAUUAGAUACCCGGGUAGUCCUGGCUGUAAAGGAUGCGGGCUAGGUGUCGGGUGAGCUUCGGGCUCGCCCGGUGCCGUAGGGAAGCCGUUAAGCCCGCCGCCUGGGGAGUACGGCCGCAAGGCUGAAACUUAAAGGAAUUGGCGGG
rnacentral:rRNA from 1 species